rnacentral:rRNA from 1 species
AUUGCGGACAGAACCCAACCUGAACAUAGUAAAUGCAUCUGGUUUUGGAAGCUAAGCAGGGUCAGGGCUGGUUAGUACUUGGAAGGGAGACCACUGGGAAAUUCCAGAGAUCUCCAGGU